rnacentral:rRNA from 1 species
GGGAGCUGUCGAAGGUGGGAUUGGCGAUUGGGACGAAGUCGUAACAAGGUAGCCGUACCGGAAGGUGCGGCUGGAUCACCUCCUUUCUAAGGAGA